rnacentral:rRNA from 1 species
AUUGAACGCUGGCGGCAGGCCUAACACAUGCAAGUCGAACGAGUGGCGGACGGGUGAGUAAUGUCUGGGACACUGCCCGAUGGAGGGGGAUAACUACUGGAAACGGUAGCUAAUACCGCAUACCAUCGGAUGUGCCCAGAUGGGAUUAGCUAGUAGGUGGGGUAAUGGCUCACCUAGGCGACGAUCCCUAGCUGGUCUGAGAGGAUGACCGAGCACACUGGAACUGAUACACGGUCCAGACUCCGACGUGAGGCAGCAGUGGGGAAUAUGGCACAAUGGGGGCAAGCCUGAUGGAGCCAUGCCGCGUGUAUGAAGAAGGCCUUCGGGGUGUAAAGUACUGGCAGCGAGGAGGCGGUACUCGCAGAAUAAGCACCGGCUAACUCCGUGCCAGCAGCCGCGGUAAUUC